GUUGCCAAGUUUACGAGUCGUGCGAGACACUAUAAAACCGAGGCCUCUCAUCCAUUUCGACACACCAUCUUAUACGGUCCGCCCCACUUGUUUGACACAAUACCAUAUCACCCUUCGUAUAGCGUUGCACGUCGUUGGGGGUUCACCGGAGCCUGUCGGAGUCCGGAGACGAAAACGACAUCUGAGGUUUGCAACGGGAUUCACACAUCACGACGUUCGUCCGCACCUGUUUUCCAUUCGGUGAAGAUGAUAUAGAUGGUUCGGGUUCACGUCUUUUCGUGGCGGAUAAUCGUUCUCGUUCGUCCUCUUGGAGAUUUCCACCUUUACUCGUGCGUUAUUACAAGAAAUUCGCAACGCAAUCAAUGUUGAAUAUUCAAGAAUCAAGAAAAAACUAGGAUGGCAUUAGAAACCCAUUUUAGCAUUUUAGUUAAUGUUGAACUAUGUUUGUUUAUUUGAAACAAUCUACCUUUCAUUUGAAUUUAAUAAAAUGAUUUAAUCUAUAUUGUC
rnacentral:lncRNA from 1 species